AUCCAUCUGAUGAGUCCCAAAUAGGACGAAAUGUGUGUGCUGAAU
rnacentral:hammerhead_ribozyme from 1 species